GAUGAACGCUAGCUACAGGCUUAACACAUGCAAGUCGAGGGGCAGCGGUAUCGAAAGCUUGCUUUCGGUAGCCGGCGACCGGCGCACGGGUGAGUAACGCGUAUCGAACCUGCCUCAUACUCGGGAAUAGCCUUGCGAAAGUAAGGUUAAUGCCCGGUGUUUUCAGAGUCCCGCAUGAGGCUUUGAACAAAGAUUUAUCGGUAUGAGAUGGCGAUGCGUCCCAUUAGCUUGUUGGCGGGGUAACGGCCCACCAAGGCAUCGAUGGGUAGGGGUUCUGAGAGGAAGGUCCCCCACAUUGGAACUGAGACACGGUCCAACUCCUACGGGAGGCAGCAGUGAGGAAUAUUGGUCAAUGGGCGGAAGCCCGAACCAGCCAAGUAGCGUGCAGGAAGACGGCCCUCCGGGUUGUAAACUGCUUUUAGUUGGGAAUAAAACGGGGCUCGUGAGCCCCCUUGCAUGUACCAUCAGAAAAAGGACCGGCUAAUUCCGUG
rnacentral:rRNA from 1 species